UCCGGGAUCGUCUAAUGGUAGGACAACAGACUUUGACUCUGUCGAUCGGGGUUCGAAUCCCUGUCCCGGAA
rfam:Parcubacteria bacterium GW2011_GWA2_43_9b TW11_C0016, whole genome shotgun sequence.